rnacentral:rRNA from 1 species
GGAGGGUGCGAGCGUUGUUCGGAAUCACUGGGCGUAAAGGGCGUGUAGGCGGUCCGCUAAGUCUGAUGUGAAAGCCCGGGGCUCACCCCCGGAAGUGCAUUGGAAACUGGCGGACUCGAGUCCCGGAGAGGAGAGUGGAAUUCCUGGUGUAGCGGUGAAAUGCGUAGAUAUCAGGAGGAACACCGGUGGCGAAGGCGGCUCUGUGGACGGUGACUGACGCUGAGACGCGAAAGCGUGGGGAGCAAACAGGAUUAGAUACCCUGGUAGUCCACGCUGUAAACGAUGAGCACUAGGUGUCGUGGGUAUUGACCCCCGCGGUGCCGCAGCUAACGCAUUAAGUGCUCCGCCUGGGGACUACGGCCGCAAGGUUA